rnacentral:sRNA from 1 species
CUGAGGGCGGCAGGCUCAUGGCGCCGGCGUCUCAGCUGCUCGCGCUUUGGGCGCUGGCGGCUGUGGCUCUACCCGGCUCCGGGGCGGAGGGCGACGGCGGGUGGUACGCCUUCGUCAAGCCCGUCAUCCUGCAGGGACUCACGGACAACUCGGUGAGCGCGUGCCCGUCCGUCCCCGGCCACUCUCGCCCGUGCUGGGCCCGGCCACUAAGCCCCCUCUCCGCCCCCGCAGAGGUUCCGGGCCCUGUGCUCCCGCGAAAGGUUGCUGGCUUCGUUUGGGGACAGAGUGGUCCGGCUGAGCACCGCCAACACCUACUCCUACCACAAAGUGGACUUGCCCUUCCAGGAGUACGUGGAGCAGCUGCUGCACCCCCAGGACCCCACCUCCCUGGGCAAUGACACCCUGUACUUCUUCGGGGACAACAACUUCACCGAGUGGGCCUCUCUUUUUCGGCACUACUCCCCACCCCCAUUUGGCCUGCUGGGAACCGCUCCAGCUUACAGCUUUGGAAUCGCAGGAGCUGGCUCGGGGGUGCCCUUCCAUUGGCAUGGGCCCGGGUACUCAGAGGUGAUCUACGGUCGUAAGGUCAGCACGGGGUGGGGGUUGAGGCUUGGGGCUCGCUGACCAAAAUGGGCAAGGGUGACAGUGCUGCUUGUGCCCCCAGCGCUGGUUCCUUUACCCACCUGAGAAGACGCCAGAGUUCCACCCCAACAAGACCACGCUGGCCUGGCUCCGGGACACAUACCCAGCCCUGCCACCGUCUGCACGGCCCCUGGAGUGUACCAUCCGGGCUGGUGAGGUCAGUGGCUGGCAGGAGGGCCAAGCCAGGCCAGAGGCCCAGAGCUAAUCUCUGCUGCACUCCCUUCCUCCACCAGGUGCUGUACUUCCCCGACCGCUGGUGGCAUGCUACGCUCAACCUUGACACCAGCGUCUUCAUCUCCACCUUCCUCGGCUAGCCAAAACAGCUGGCAGGCCUGCCUGUCACACACCGGCACGUCCCACCUCGUGCUCACGGAUUUUAUUACACAGAUAGUGGCAGCAGUGGCCUCAGCCCAGCCCACCCUCACCUGCUUUUCCAGCCCACAAAGGGGGACGAUCACAGCCCAGCAAGAGCGAUGCUGAGAGGGGGAACAGUCCAAAGUCCAACAGCAGAACUUGGGGGGAAGGGGUUGGGGUGGCCAGGAACACAAACUAUGUACAGGGGCCGGGGGCUUCUGCCCAGGGCUCCCCUGGACCAGGAUGCCAGGCAGGGCAGGGAACCUCAGUAGUCCUCCACCCAGCCAUUCUCAGAGAUGAAUGCAUCAAUAACCUCCUUCAUAGCCAGGUUGGGGAUGAGCUGUUCCUGGGUCAGGGGGCUCCGGGUCACAGGGUCAAAAUGACCCACACGCUGUAGUAACAAGAAGGGCAGAGGGAGUCAUGGGGCCCAGGACCAUGCCACUGGCCCUGCUCCCGCAGCCGCAGCCUCACCUGCAAGUGUUCCUCGAUGUCUUUGCGGUCGUAGGUGAUGCCACUGGGCGUGAUGCACGGUUCCCGCAUCAGCUCAAAGCUGAUCUUACCACACAGGUAGUCGGGGAUGUCUCGCUUCUGCGGCACGGGGGCACAUGGUCAGAGGCUGGAAAGGGGCACUGCUCCAGCACCUGCCACCCACUGGCAGCAAGCGACACUCACCUUCCUCUUCUCGUCCACCUGAGAAAAGAGCUCGUCCAUGUCCGCCAUGUACUUGUCCUGUGAAGAGUUGAGUGCUGCGCUUGGGGGAGACACCCAACCUCCCUCCUCCAUGGGGCACAGACCCAACACAAGGCGGGGAUGCUUCCACGCCACGUGCACACACACAGACCCACAUGUGGGUGGGGGGCAUCCUCACGUGCUUGGCCUCAAUGCAGGCCUGCUGGGCCCGGACGUGGCUGUCGUCCUCAUCACCCUCGUGGUUUCGCUGGCAUUCUUCCAGCUCCCUGGGGGUUGACCAGGAGCCGGUCGGAGAUGGACCUGGCUAGAUGUCUGACCACACCCCAACCUCAGGGCUAACAUCCACACUGCUUCCCCACAUUUC